rnacentral:tRNA from 1 species
GGAGGGAUUCCCGAGUGGCUAAAGGGGGCAGACUGUAAAUCUGUUGGCACCGCCUUCGCUGGUUCGAAUCCAGCUCCCUCCACCA